CAACGGGGUGUCCGGCCGCAGCCGGACUGAGAAUCACCCGCUGAACCUGAUCCGGAUCAUACCGGCGGAGGAACCUGGA
rnacentral:ncRNA from 1 species